rnacentral:rRNA from 1 species
AGAGUUUGAUCCUGGCUUAGGAUGAACGCUAGCUACAGGCUUAACACAUGCAAGUCGAGGGGCAGCAUGAAGUUUGCUUGCAAACUUGAUGGCGACCGGCGCACGGGUGAGUAACGCGUAUCCAACCUUCCCCUUAGUAGGGCAUAGCCCGAUGAAAAUCGGAUUAAUACCCUAUGUUGUCUUAUGAGGACAUCUGAGCAGGACCAAAGGUUUACCGCUAAGGGAUGGGGAUGCGUCCGAUUAGGUAGUCGGCGGGGUAACGGCCCACCGAGCCAUCGAUCGGUAGGGGUUCUGAGAGGAAGGUCCCCCACAUUGGAACUGAGACACGGUCCAAACUCCUACGGGAGGCAGCAGUGAGGAAUAUUGGUCAAUGGGCGAGAGCCUGAACCAGCCAAGUAGCGUGCAAGGAUGACGGCCCUAUGGGUUGUAAACUGCUUUUAUGCGGGGAUAAAGUGCGCCACGUGUGGCGUUUUGUAGGUACCGCAUGAAUAAGGACCGGCUAAUUCCGUGCCAGCAGCAGC